AUUCAAUUUGAUUUCUAUCCCAACCAAAUUAUACUGUCGAGCUUGAAUUAUCGUUUCUAGUCCCAAUCUUCAAAAACGCGAGGAGAGAGAGGGAACAUGGAAAGCACCGGGUGGCCUUGACCGUGUUUGUGUGUCCUGUUACCAGCCAAUGCCGCAUUCUCUAUAUUUCCAGCACAGGAUAUUAAUUCAUUAUUCAAUGAUUAUGAACCGUAACUGGGCUUUCAAAACAUUAUCUAUGAUGUUAAAUCAUUUUAUCAGAAUGUAGAAACAUGCUGUUUCAUUCCAUGAUAAGGAAGAGAACUAAUG
rnacentral:misc_RNA from 1 species